rnacentral:pre_miRNA from 2 species
ACAAAUCACCUGGGGACCUUGUUAAAAUACAGAUUCUGAUUCUGUAGGUCUGAGAUGGGACCUGAGAUUCUGCGCUUCUAACAAGCUUUCAGGUGAGGCCUGU